rnacentral:rRNA from 1 species
GUCGCACCUACCGAUUGAAUGGUCCGGUGAGGACUCGGGAUUGUGGUUUGGCUCCUUCAUUGGGGCCUGACUGCGAGAACUUGUCUAAACCUUAUCAUUUAGAGGAAGUAA